AUGAACGCUAGCGACAGGCUUAACACAUGCAAGUCGAGGGGCAGCACAGGUAGCAAUACCGGGUGGCGACCGGCGCACGGGUGAGUAACGCGUAUGCAACUUGCCUAUCAGAGGGGGAUAACCCGGCGAAAGUCGGACUAAUACCGCAUGAAGCAGGGGCCCCGCAUGGGGAUAUUUGCUAAAGAUUCAUCGCUGAUAGAUAGGCAUGCGUUCCAUUAGGCAGUUGGCGGGGUAACGGCCCACCAAACCGACGAUGGAUAGGGGUUCUGAGAGGAAGGUCCCCCACAUUGGUACUGAGACACGGACCAAACUCCUACGGGAGGCAGCAGUGAGGAAUAUUGGUCAAUGGGCGUAAGCCUGAACCAGCCAAGUCGCGUGAGGGAUGAAGGUUCUAUGGAUCGUAAACCUCUUUUAUAAGGGAAUAAAGUGCGGGACGUGUCCCGUUUUGUAUGUACCUUAUGAAUAAGGAUCGGCUAACUCCGUGCCAGCAGCCGCGGUAAUACGGAGGAUCCGAGCGUUAUCCGGAUUUAUUGGGUUUAAAGGGUGCGUAGGCGGCCUUUUAAGUCAGCGGUGAAAGUCUGUGGCUCAACCAUAGAAUUGCCGUUGAAACUGGGGGGCUUGAGUAUGUUUGAGGCAGGCGGAAUGCGUGGUGUAGCGGUGAAAUGCAUAGAUAUCACGCAGAACCCCGAUUGCGAAGGCAGCCUGCCAAGCCAUUACUGACGCUGAUGCACGAAAGCGUGGGGAUCAAACAGGAUUAGAUACCCUGGUAGUCCACGCAGUAAACGAUGAUCACUAGCUGUUUGCGAUACACUGUAAGCGGCACAGCGAAAGCGUUAAGUGAUCCACCUGGGGAGUACGCCGGCAACGGUGAAACUCAAAGGAAUUGACGGGGGCCCGCACAAGCGGAGGAACAUGUGGUUUAAUUCGAUGAUACGCGAGGAACCUUACCCGGGUUUGAACGCAUUCGGACCGAGGUGGAAACACCUUUUCUAGCAAUAGCCGUUUGCGAGGUGCUGCAUGGUUGUCGUCAGCUCGUGCCGUGAGGUGUCGGCUUAAGUGCCAUAACGAGCGCAACCCUUGCCACUAGUUACUAACAGGUGAUGCUGAGGACUCUGGUGGGACUGCCAGCGUAAGCUGCGAGGAAGGCGGGGAUGACGUCAAAUCAGCACGGCCCUUACAUCCGGGGCGACACACGUGUUACAAUGGCGUGGACAAAGGGAGGCCACCUGGCGACAGGGAGCGAAUCCCCAAACCACGUCUCAGUUCGGAUCGGAGUCUGCAACCCGACUCCGUGAAGCUGGAUUCGCUAGUAAUCGCGCAUCAGCCAUGGCGCGGUGAAUACGUUCCCGGGCCUUGUACACACCGCCCGUCAAGCCAUGGGAGCCGGGGGUACCUGAAGUUCGUAACCGAAAGGAUCGGCCUAGGGUAAAACUGGUGACUGGGGCU
rnacentral:rRNA from 1 species